ACAAACUUGGUCAUUUAGAGGAAGUAAAAGUCGUAACAAGGUUUCCGUAGGUGAACCUGCGGAAGGAUCAUUAAUGAAUAUUAGGGUGCUCUUUUUAACAAGAGGCCUGAGCUUCAUUCUUCUACCCUGUGCACUAUUAUUCGAUUCGGUUGGUUGGUAGUUUGGCCCUCAUCGGUCUUACGACACUGCCGGGUUUUCAUUUUUGAACUCUACAAGUCUAGGAAUGUAAGAAACCUAAAAGGAAGAAAAAGAAGAAAACUUUCAACAACGGAUCUCUUGGCUCUCGCAUCGAUGAAGAACGCAGC
rnacentral:misc_RNA from 1 species